AGUGAACGCUGGCGGUAGGCCUAACACAUGCAAGUCGAACGGCAGCACAGGAGAGCUUGCUCUCUGGGUGGCGAGUGGCGGACGGGUGAGGAAUACAUCGGAAUCUACUUUUUCGUGGGGGAUAACGUAGGGAAACUUACGCUAAUACCGCAUACGACCUACGGGUGAAAGCAGGGGACCUUCGGGCCUUGCGCGAUUGAAUGAGCCGAUGUCGGAUUAGCUAGUUGGCGGGGUAAAGGCCCACCAAGGCGACGAUCCGUAGCUGGUCUGAGGGGAUAAUCAGCCACACUGGAACUGAGACACGGUCCAGACUCCUACGGGAGGCAGCAGUGGGGAAUAUUGGACAAUGGGCGCAAGCCUGAUCCAGCCAUACCGCGUGGGUGAAGAAGGCCUUCGGGUUGUAAAGCCCUUUUGUUGGGGAAGAAAUCCAGCUGGCUAAUACCCGGUUGGGAUGACGGUACCCAAAGAAUAAGCACCGGCUAACUUCGUGCCAGCAGCCGCCGCGG
rnacentral:rRNA from 1 species